AGAAAUUUCUGCAUGUCUGCCCAAUGUAUACUGAAUCACAGUAUUUGCAGAAAUGAAAUGGAGCAAAGAGGCAUUAAGCAACUUAAAUCUGGCACACAGCAAGGAAAAGUGUAUGUAUGACCCGCUGUAUCAGAAUAAGCAUGCCUUAAAGAGAAAUUGGUAGUGACAGGGGAGAAUGUCUGUUCAGUUUGGUCCAGAGUGACAGACGAGAACUGCAAAACUCUGAGUAGCACAUAUACAUAGUGCAAACUUGGAAAAAUAACAUAAGUGCACCUUCAAGUACUGGUCCUUUAAAGUGCUGCCCUAAUCGGAAGAUUUACUGUCACUGCCAUGGCAAUAGCUCCAAAAACAAAUGGGUCCUCCUUGUGCAAAGUGCUGUAUAAGUACAUGUACCUGUUUAACCAAGAGUCAUGAUAUAAAACUAACUAUUGGGUCUGUAAUUCAGAACAGUGGUAAUGUACCUAAGAGAAUAACAGUUAUUUAAUAAAUAAUAAUAAAAAAACAGUUUCAUAUUAUAUAGGAAACUUGAGUCGCAUAAAUAUUUUAAUUGA